rnacentral:rRNA from 1 species
UCUGACACAGGUGCUGCAUGGCUGUCGUCAGCUCGUGUCGUGAGAUGUUGGGUUAAGUCCCGUAACGAGCGCAACCCUUGUCCUUAGUUACCAGCACGUUAUGGUGGGCACUCUAAGGAGACUGCCGGUGACAAACCGGAGGAAGGUGGGGAGUGACGUCAAGUCAUCAUGGCCCUUACGGCCUGGGCUACACACGUGCUACAAUGGUCGGUACAAAGGGUUGCCAAGCCGCGAGGUGGAGCUAAUCCCAUAAAACCGAAUCGUAGUCCGGAUCGCAGUCUGCAACUCGACUGCGUGAAGUCGGAAUCGCUAGUAAUCGUGAAUCAGAAUGUCACGGUGAAUACGUUCCCGGGCCUU